CCAGCACCCCGAGUGGUCGGGACGAUUAUUGGGCCUAAAGCAUCCGUAGCCGGUUUUACAAGUCCUCCGUUAAAUCCAACUGCUUAACAGAUGGGCCGCGGAGGAUACUAUAAGACUAGGAGGCAGGAGAGGCAAGCGGUACUCAGUGGUAGGGGUAAAAUCCGUUGAUCCAUUGAAGACCACCAGUGGCGAAGGCGGCUUGCCAGAAUGCGCUCGACGGUGAGGGAUGAAAGCUGGGGGAGCAAACCGGAUUAGAUACCCGGGUAGUCCCAGCCGUAAACGAUGCAGACUCGGUGAUGGACCAGCUUCAUGCUAGUCCAGUGCCGCAGGGAAGCCGUUAAGUCUGCCGCCUGGGUAGUACGGUCGCAAGACUG
rnacentral:rRNA from 1 species